rnacentral:rRNA from 1 species
CGGCUAGGGGGUCAUCCCGACUUACCAACCCGAUGCAAACUACGAAUACCGAAGAAUGUUAUCACGGGAGACACACGGCGGGUGCUAACGUCCGUCGUGAAGAGGGAAACAACCCAGACCGCCAGCUAAGGUCCCAAAGUCAUGGUUAAGUGGGAAACGAUGUGGGAAGGCACAGACAGCCAGGAUGUUGGCUUAGAAGCAGCCAUCAUUUAAAGAAAGCGUAAUAGCUCACUGGUCGAGUCGGCCUGCGCGGAAGAUGUAACGGGGCUAAACCAUGCACCGAAGCUGCGGCAGCGACACUAUGUGUUGUUGGGUAGGGGAGCG